UGCGGGGUGGAGUAACGGUAGCUCGUCUCCCUCUGGAGGAGAAGAUCCUGGUUCGAGUCCAGGCCCCGCAGCAA
rnacentral:tRNA from 1 species